rnacentral:rRNA from 1 species
AACUAGGAUUCCCUCAGUAACGGCGAGUGAAGCGGGACUAGCUCAGGAUGUGAAUCUGCGCUUUAUUGGCGCCGAAUUGUGGUCUGUAGACUUUGACGUUAUCUGCCGGGCCAAGUUCCUUGGAAAAGGACAGCUGAGAGGGUGAGACUCCCGUCCGCCUGGUUGAGUGAGUCAUUUGUCAACGAGUCGAGUUGUUUGGGAUUGCAGCUCUAAUUUGGUGGUAAAUUCCAUCUAAAGCUAAAUAUUGGUGGGAGACCGAUAGCGUACAAGUACCGUGAGGGAAAGAUGCAAAGAACUUUGAAAAGAGAGUUAAAGAGUACCUGAAACUGCUGAAACGGAAGCGAAGGAAACCAGUGUUUGUUUGUUCAUAUUUCCCUGGCCACUUGUGGUUUGGGCGCUGUGAGCUUGCGUGAGUUUGGGUUGGUUGAUCCCUUUGGAAGAGCGCAGUCAGAGUUGAUGUCUGUUGCUAGCACUGGGUUUGACUGAUGCAGACGAAAUGGUUUUCUUUACCCCGUCUUGAAACACGGACCAAGGAGUCUAACAUAUGUGCGAGUACAGGGGUGUCAAACCCCGGUGCGUAAUGAAAGUGACAGUGGUUGGAAUUUUGCACAAUCCGCCGGCCUCAAUCCUUCGGGAGAACGGUCUGAGUGUGAGCAUACAUGUUGGGACCCGAAAGAUGGUGAACUAUGCCUGAAUAGGGUGAAGCCAGGGGAAACUCUGGUGGAGGC